UCAGGCCUAACACAUGCAAGUCGAGCGCUCUCUUCGGAGGGAGCGGCGGACGGGUGAGUAACGCGUGGGAACGUGCCCUUCUCUAUGGAAUAGCCACUGGAAACGGUGAGUAAUACCAUAUACGCCCUUCGGGGGAAAGAUUUAUCGGAGAAGGAUCGGCCCGCGUUAGAUUAGGUAGUUGGUGGGGUAAUGGCCUACCAAGCCUACGAUCUAUAGCUGGUUUUAGAGGAUGAUCAGCCACACUGGGACUGAGACACGGCCCAGACUCCUACGGGAGGCAGCAGUGGGGAAUCUUAGACAAUGGGCGCAAGCCUGAUCUAGCCAUGCCGCGUGAGUGAUGAAGGCCUUAGGGUCGUAAAGCUCUUUCGCCAGAGAUGAUAAUGACAGUAUCUGGUAAAGAAACCCCGGCUAACUCCGUGCCAGCAGCCGCGGUAAUACGGAGGGGGUUAGCGUUGUUCGGAAUUACUGGGCGUAAAGCGCACGUAGGCGGAUUAGAAAGUUAGGGGUGAAAUCCCGGGGCUCAACCUCGGAACUGCCUCUAAAACUCCUAGUCUAGAGUUCGAGAGAGGUGAGUGGAAUUCCAAGUGUAGAGGUGAAAUUCGUAGAUAUUUGGAGGAACACCAGUGGCGAAGGCGGCUCACUGGCUCGAUACUGACGCUGAGGUGCGAAAGUGUGGGGAGCAAACAGGAUUAGAUACCCU
rnacentral:rRNA from 1 species